rnacentral:rRNA from 1 species
UGAGGAAUAUUGGACAAUGGGCGCAAGCCUGAUCCAGCCAUGCCGCGUGCAGGAUGACGGUCCUAUGGAUUGUAAACUGCUUUUGUACAGGAAGAAACAGUUCUACGUGUAGAACCUUGACGGUACUGUAAGAAUAAGGAUCGGCUAACUCCGUGCCAGCAGCCGCGGUAAUACGGAGGAUCCAAGCGUUAUCCGGAAUCAUUGGGUUUAAAGGGUCCGUAGGCGGUUAGAUAAGUCAGUGGUGAAAGCCCAUCGCUCAACGGUGGAACGGCCAUUGAUACUGUCUGACUUGAAUUAUUAGGAAGUAACUAGAAUAUGUAGUGUAGCGGUGAAAUGCUUAGAGAUUACAUGGAAUACCAAUUGCGAAGGCAGGUUACUACUAAUGGAUUGACGCUGAUGGACGAAAGCGUGGGUAACGAACAGGAUUAGAUACCCAAGUAGUCCCUGAGCGGGCUGGCAAGGCGCAU